AACGCGAAGAACCUUACCCAGAUUUGACAUGCACCAGACGAUAGCAGAGAUGUUAUUUCCCUUCGGGGCUGGUGCACAGGUGCUGCAUGGCUGUCGUCAGCUCGUGCCGUGAGGUGUUGGGUUAAGUCCCGCAACGAGCGCAACCCUUAUCAUUAGUUGCCAACAUAUCAGGUGGGAACUCUAAUGAGACUGCCUGGGUUAACCAGGAGGAAGGUGAGGAUGAUGUCAAGUCCGCAUGGCCCUUAUAUCUGGGGCUACACACGUGCUACAAUGGCCGGUACAGAAGGCAGCGAAACCGCGAGGUGAAGCAAAUCCCAAAAAGCCGGCCUCAGUUCAGAUUGUAGUCUGCAACUCGACUACAUGAAGACGGAAUUGCUAGUAAUGGCGAGUCAGCAACACCGCCGUGAAUACGUUCCCGGGCCUUGUACACACCGGAGUA
rnacentral:rRNA from 1 species